rnacentral:rRNA from 1 species
UACGUAGGGUGCAAGCGUUGUCCGGAAUUUUUGGGCGUAAAGAGCUCGUAGGCGGUUUGUCGCGUCUGCUGUGAAAACCCGAGGCUCAACCUCGGGCCUGCAGUGGGUACGGGCAGACUAGAGUGCGGUAGGGGAGAUUGGAAUUCCUGGUGUAGCGGUGGAAUGCGCAGAUAUCAGGAGGAACACCAAUGGCGAAGGCAGAUCUCUGGGCCGUAACUGACGCUGAGGAGCAAAAGCAUGGGGAGCGAACAGG